rnacentral:lncRNA from 1 species
UUGUCCUUGUUCUCCAGGUGGACGCCUGAUUUCUUCUUUCUUUGUCCUUGUUCUCCAGGUGGACGCCUGAUUUCUUCCUUUCUUUGUCCUUGUUCUCCAGGUGGAUGCCUGAUUACUUCUUUUCUUUGUCCUUGUUCUCCAGGUGGACGCAUGACUUCUAUCUUUGUCCUUGUUCUCCAGGUGGACGCCUGAUUUCUUCUUUUCUUUGUCCUUGUUCUCCAGGUGUACGCCUGACUUCUAUUUUUCUUUGUCCUUGUUCUCCAGGUGGACGCCUGAUUUCUUCUUUCUUUGUCCU